GUCCAAAGAAAGGGAAGGAGUAAACAGCACAUCGCCAGUGAGGGUAGGGGGAGCUGUCUCUAACAGUAGGCUUCAGGGGAAGAGGACGUCCACUUCAACAAUGAAGACUGGGCCGGGCGCGGUGGCUCAAGCCUGGUAUUCCCAGCAC